CCUACGGGAGGCAGCAGUGAGGAAUAUUGGUCAAUGGCCGAGAGGCUGAACCAGCCAAGUCGCGUGAGGGAUGACGGCCCUACGGGUUGUAAACCUCUUUUGUCGGGGAGCAAAGAGAGUCACGUGUGACUCAUUGAGAGUACCCGAAGAAAAAGCAUCGGCUAACUCCGUGCCAGCAGCCGCGGUAAUACGUAGGGAGCAAGCGUUAUCCGGAUUUACUGGGUGUAAAGGGCGUGUAGGCGGGCCUGUAAGUCAGAAGUGAAAUCUGGGGGCUUA
rnacentral:rRNA from 1 species